rnacentral:tRNA from 2 species
UGGGAUGUGGCCGACUGGUAAGGUACCUGUCUGUUAAACAGGGUGAUGUUGGUUCAAAUCCAACCGUCCCAG